GCCCGGUAGUCCAGUGGUUAGCACGUCGGCUUCACAGUGCAGAGGUACCGGGUUCGAUUCCAGCUCCGGCCUCCCUGUGUGGAGUUUGCAUGUUCUCCCCGGGCCUGCGUGGGUUUUCUCCGGGUGCUCCGGUUUCCUCCCACGUUCCAAAAACAUGCAUGGCAGGCUGAUUGAACACUCUAAAUUGUCCCUAGGUGUGAGUGUGAGCGUGGAUGGUUGUUCGUCUCUGUGUGCCCUGCGAUUGGCUGGCAACCGGUUCAGGGUGUCCCCCGCCUACUGCCCAAAGACAGCUGGGAUAGGCUCCAGCACCCCCCGCGACCCUAGUGAGGAUCAAGCGGUACGGAAGAUGAAUGAAUGACUGA